GCGCGCUUCUUCCUAGUCAGGGCGAUGGCCGUGACGCUGCCCGGAGUAAAAGAACGAAGAUGGAUUUUGCAUUCUUUUUGAGAUUGAACCAAAAUAUACUAAGAUGAAUUUCCAGAGUCUUCGAAUUGGACUUUGUCAAAUUUUAAGCUUUGAGGAAAGCAGGGGAAGUCACCACUUUUACUUUCUCCUCAUGGCCAGACCUUUCCUCAUUUUUAAACAGAAUUCGGAUUUUGGAACAAAGGAGAGCCGAUCACUCGACUUGUUCAACCAAAUAGGAUUUUAGACCUUUAGUCCCCUCUCUUGUUCUGUCUGGUUGCUGACCUUGUUUCCAUCCAAGUGACCAGGCCCGAACGCCGCCAGCCCCAACUGAUUGCCUGUCCCGACUACGUCUUCGCCUCGCCCACCGGCCAUGCUGCUGUUGCCACGUCCCUUUCUCCUAAGAACAAUAAACAAACUGUGCUACA